AACGUAGGGGACAAGCGUUAUCCGGAUUUACUGGGCGUAAAGCGCCCGUAGGCGGCUUUUUAAGUUGGACGUGAAAGCUCCCGGCUUAACUGGGAGAGGCCGUUCAAAACUGAGAGGCUAGAGUGAGGAAGAGGAGAGCGGAAUUCCCGGUGUAGUGGUGGAAUGCGUAGAUAUCGGGAGGAACACCAGUGGCGAAAGCGGCUCUCUGGUCCUAAACUGACGCUGAGGGGCGAAAGCGUGGGGAGCGAACGGG
rnacentral:rRNA from 1 species